GGUCGUUCAGAUGGUAGAACAUUGCCCUAACAACGCAAAGGUUGUGGGUUCAUAUCCCAGGGAAUCA